AAUAUUGGACAAUGGGGGCAACCCUGAUCCAGCAAUGCCGCGUGUGUGAAGAAGGCCUUAGGGUUGUAAAGCACUUUCAAUGGUGAAGAUGAUGACGGUAACCAUAGAAGAAGCCCCGGCUAACUUCGUGCCAGCAGCCGCGGUAAUACGAAGGGGGCGAGCGUUGUUCGGAAUUACUGGGCGUAAAGGGCGCGCAGGCGGCCAAUCCAGUCAGGUGUGAAAGCCCCGGGCUUAACCUGGGAACUGCACUUGAUACUGGUUGGCUAGAAAACGGAAGAGGAGAGUGGAAUUCCCAGUGUAGAGGUGAAAUUCGUAGAUAUUGGGAAGAACACCAGUGGCGAAGGCGGCUCUCUGGUCCGAUUUUGACGCUGAGGCGCGAAAGCGUGGGGAGCGAACAGGAUUAGAUACCCUGGUAGUCCACGCCGUA
rnacentral:rRNA from 1 species